GACAGAGGGUGCAAACGUUGUUCGGAAUUACUGGGCGUAAAGCGAGUGUAGGCGGUCUGCUAAGUCGGGUGUGAAAGCCCCGGGCUCAACCCGGGAAGUGCACUCGAAACUGGCAGGCUAGAGUAUCGGAGAGGUUGGUGGAAUUCUCGGUGUAGAGGUGAAAUUCGUAGAUAUCGAGAGGAACACCGGUGGCGAAGGCGGCCAACUGGACGAAUACUGACGCUGAGACUCGAAAGCUAGGGGAGCGAACGGG
rnacentral:rRNA from 1 species